UGGAUGACGGUACCGGAAGAAGAAGCACCGGCUAACUACGUGCCAGCAGCCGCGGUAAUACGUAGGGUGCGAGCGUUAAUCGGAAUUACUGGGCGUAAAGCGUGCGCAGGCGGUUUUGUAAGACAGGAAGACAGGCGUGAAAUCCCGGGGCUCAACCUGGGAACUUCGUUUGAAACUACAAAGCUAG
rnacentral:rRNA from 1 species